GUCCUGGUUAGGGUCCAGAAGACCUUGUAAUGUGUGGACUAGGCACACCAUGAGUCUGCUUACAAUGGACAUCACCCAGGGGCCAUGAUGUCAUAAAGAAAUGUUCCUUUGUGACUUGAAAGGAAGAGAGAAGGUUUGAAUUGGAACUGCAAAUGUGUCAUGACAUUAAGGAUAUUGUGUCAUGACAUUAAGGAUAUUGUGUCAUGAUAUUCCUAAUCUCUGGGACAAGUCUAAAAGAAAUGUUGUUUUGAAUAGAUAUCCACCAAAGGCUGAUCUGUGUUGUUAUACUUAACUUUUUCUAGUUGUUUUCUGGAAUGUUCUUUGAGGGUACUAAGAAGCUGUGGUUUCUACACCAUGAGGUUGAUGUUGAGGGUCCAGUGGUGCGACUGCUCUCUCCCUAUUGGAAGUUUUUCUAUCUCUCUCUACCCCCCUUUCUCUCUCUUUCCCAUCUUGUCCCCCCCCCCCCCCCGUUGUUGGGAUAGAUCUUAUACGUGUCAUUGUGUCUGGGUGUGUUAAAAUGCUCCCUUCAGGAAAGGGAAAACGACUUGUAGUUGGUCACAGAAAGCAGAUCUGGGCAGAACAUCAAGUUACUCUGACCAGGGUCAAGUUGAUCAGUCUGAAGGGAUGUUCAGUAUUUCACUUUGUGCUACAUGUGUCCAUUUAGCUUCUAAAUAAGAGGUUUUAUAACAGGUGAUGGCUGUGAGGAAAACAUGUUACAACUCAACGUUAAUUCAACCUCUCUAGUUGAAUGAAGAAUGUGGAGCGUUCUGAUAUCAACCCUGGUGGGUUUAAUAGUAGUGUUUCAUCCCGUGGAUGGUACAUGUCCAGUGUCAUACCUAGUGGUGUUUAGGAAGCUAUCGUUUUCAAAUGUUUUUCACACGGGAGGUCUGUUUCUGAAAACGGCUGUUUUUCACCCCCUCAUUGAAGUGUUAGUUUAUAACGAGGGUUCAGUCUUGUAACUAUCUUUGAGAAGUGCCUGGUUGCGUUCUAUCCACACUCUCUUAGAAUUAACAAUUAGAACCAAAAGGAUUCCGGUUCCAUACCAUCGUGGAGGCGAGUCUUUUCAAUGUUUGGGGUCUAACAUUUAUCUAACCAUUUUAGUUUGAACCGUUUUUGUUGUCUUUUGAAAAACCCAUGUUUGUUCUAAUCCCAACUACAGUAUAUUGUUGUCAACUGGACAUUUGCCAUUUUAGAAUUUUGCUGAAUAUUUUGUAACGUGCUAUAUAGUAUACCGUUAGCGUAAGACUCCCUUCCCUCUCUCCAGCCUAACGCUAUCCCUUCCCUCUCUCCAGCCUAACGCUAUCCCUUCCCUCUCUCCAGCCUAACGCUAUCCCUUCCCUCUCUCCAGCCUAACGCUAUCCCUUCCCUCUCUCCAGCCUAACGCUAUCCCUUCCC
rnacentral:lncRNA from 1 species